AAUCAACGCUGGCGGCGUGCCUCAGACAUGCAAGUCGAACGAUUAAAGCUCCCUUCGGGGAGUGCAUAAAGUGGCGCACGGGUGAGUAACACGUAAGUAAUCUACCUUCGAGUGGGGAAUAACGUUCGGAAACGAACGCUAAUACCGCAUAAUGCAGCGGCAUCGCAAGAUGACAGUUGUUAAAGGAGCAAUCCGCUUGAAGAGGAGCUUGCGGCAGAUUAGGUAGUUGGUAGGGUAAUGGCUUACCAAGCCUGCGAUCUGUAUCCGGUCUAAGAGGACGGUCGGACACACUGACACUGAAUAACGGGUCAGACUCCUACGGGAGGCAGCAGUCGGGAAUUUUGGGCAAUGGGCGAAAGCCUGACCCAGCAACGCCGCGUGAAGGAUGAAGUAUUUCGGUAUGUAAACUUCGAAAGAAUGGGAAGAAUAAAUGACGGUACCAUUUAUAAGCUCCGGCUAACUACGUGCCAGCCGCCGCUGUAACAC
rnacentral:rRNA from 1 species